rnacentral:lncRNA from 1 species
UGAUCUCCUGGGAGACAGAAUCAGGUGGAAUUCCAUGUUAUAACCAGGAUAACCAGGCCAGCCAGUGCUGCAUGGUUAGACUGUGUCUCAAAACAAAACAGAAAAGAACAGGAAUAUGUAAUCUAUUUAGGAAUAUAAGACUCAGCAAAUGAUUUUUUUAAAGAUUUAUUUAUUUAUUAUAUGUAAGUACACUGUAGCUGUCUUCAGACACUCCAGAAGAGGGCGUCAGAUCUUGUUACAGAUGGUUGUGAGCCACCAUGUGGUUGCUGGGAUUUGAACUCCGGACCUUCGGAAGAGCAGUCGGGUGCUCUUACCCACUGAGCCAUCUCACCAGCCCCAACAGCAAAUGAUUUUGUAAAGAACAAUAUAUAUUUCCAGUUUAAAAAAAAAAAAACUGUUCAAGAGCUGAACAGUAUCUUUUUCAGCUUUGCAGGUGAUAAAAAAAUGAAAUAAAUAUUUCUAGUAUCAUAUUCUUUUAUCAGUAUAAUUACGAUUAAACCUUAAUUAUCAAAGUGUCAUGAGGGAGACAUUUAUGUGCACUGCUAAUAGCACUGUAAUUGGAAAUGAUGAAAGCAGUAUGUAGUAGUACCUUAUAAGCUUCUAUGUCUCGAGUCUGCAGAGAUGGCUCUUCUAAGUUUAGUUUCUAGCACUCACAGUAGGAGGCUCAACACUACCCGUAACUCCAGCUCUGGGGACCUGACACCCGUCUUUGGUUUCUGGGGGCACCUGCAUUCACAUACACCAACAAGCACACAGAUAAACAACUGAAAAUAAAGUGAAUCUUUAAAAAGACAAGACAGUUUGCUGUCCUUUGUCCUGGGAUUUCUGCAUUAAAACAUACUUCUGACUAAUACUGGAAAUUCAGAAAAAGCUCCUGGCGGGUGCCCUGGCUAGUUCUUUGUCAUCUUGACACAAGCUGGAGUCAUCCGAGAGGAGGGAGCCUCAGCUGAGAAAACGCUUCCAUACGGUCUGGCUGCAGGCAGGCCUAUGGAGCAUCUUCUUAAUUAAUGAUUGACAUGGGGGCUCAACCCAUUAUGGAUGUGGUCAUCCCUGGGCUGGUGGUCCUGGGUUCUGUACGAAAGCAGGCCAGCGAGCCAUAGGCAAGCCAUACCCCUCCAUGGCGUCUGUAUCAGCUCCUGCCUCCAGGUUCCUGCCCUGCUUGAGUUUCUGCCUUGGCUUCCUGGGACUGACACCUGAAAGUGCAAACUGAAAUAAAGCCUUCUCAAGUCGCCUUGGUCACGGUGCUUCUUCACAGCAGUAAUAAUCCUAAGGUAGCUAGCAACUAAAGCAUUAUUGUAAAUGAAAAUCUAGACCCCUUCUCAAUGCCCCACGAAAGGAAACAGUGCAGUAAAUGAUGGCAUACCCUGACGUGGAUAGCUGGGCGUCCCACAGUUACGCUAAUGACUAACCCUCAGAAUGUGCUUACGUUGUAGUUCGGUGUGCCAGAAUCUAAGUUGUCUAUAUGAGUCAACGCAUCGCAGUGAUACCCAGAGAAGGUGCCAGCCCACUACACAUCCCCUUCUGGGGUUUUAACUUGUCUUUAUUUUUACAACAAGAGACUAUUAUUUGAUCAUUUUUGAGGGUCAUUCAAAAAUACUCCCACAAAACCAGCUAAGAUCCAAAGGGAGACACAACCAAUCCCCCAUUGGAGAUGUAAGUGGGUUCCAUACGGAACCAUUCUCAGGUGCUGCCUCUCUCCCAGGCCCCCUUUAAGUUACGUGAGCACUGCUCAGUGGCUCUGUUUUGGAAAGUAGAAGUUACAAUACCAAAUAGUACCCUACGUGAGUAAGGAUUUUCUGAAGUCCUACCACACAAGUAAUAGUAGAGUCACCUCACAAAGUCAGAUAGCUACUUCACCUUAUAAGGAGCAAGCAAUGGUUCUUAACCUGCCGGUCAUAACCCCUUUGGGGGUCACAUAUCAGAUGUCCUGCAUAUCAGGUAUUUACAUUAUGAUUCAUAACAGUAGCAAAAUUAUAGUUACAGCGUAGCAAUGAAAUGGUUUUGUGGUUGGGCUUCACCACAGCAUGACUGUAUUAAAGGGUCUCAGUUGUAUGAAGCUUGGGAACCACGGUCUUAGAGACUUGCAGCUGCUGAGAGCUUGAUUUCCUUGUACCUCCUCCUCCUUCACAGCUGCUCUGCUGCCCUCAGAUCCCAAGUGCUCACACUGUGGAUGCCUCUGGGCUCACACCGUGGAUGCCUCUGGGCUGUCUUCUUGAUUUUUCUCUUCCCUUUAAGUGUUGACUUUCAUCAGCUCUGUUUUCUUUCCUUUUUUUUUUUUUUAAUGGACCUUUUUCACUUACAUGAUCGUAAUGGAAAUGGUAUUAGGAAAACUUAAGAUGCAAUGGUGAAUGUUGCAUACAAAUUCAAAUCUAGUGCACGCACACUAGGUGUGGAGAGGCCAGUCGGUCUAAGAGUCUAAGAGUCAGUUCGGGAGACUGGCCAUGCUUCUCUUCAUAACUAGUAUGUUGCUGCCAUGUGUCCUGUGUUUGUCUCACUAGCAUCCCUGGUUUUCCCCCAAGAAUUUCACAACAGUUAAUAACUGGGUUUCAUGAGUGUGAAAGCUAUUUUCUCUGGGAAUAUUACUUGUGAGUUUCUAGGCUCUAUUCCAUGAAAGUCUCAGGAACUACAAACAUUAAUUUGUAUUAAAUAAUUAAGGGGAUUGUUACCCUUCUGUUUAUGAGGCCAUUCAGGGACUUCAUUAGUUCUCUAGAUUGGAGCAAGGCAUGUUGCUACAUUGGUAAUCCUAGGACCUCGAGCACUGAGACAGCUUGAAGCCGGUUGUCUACACGAGACCCUGUCCC